ACUAAGCGUACACGGUGGAUGCCCUGGCAGUCAGAGGCGAUGAAGGACGUGCUAAUCUGCGAUAAGCGUCGGUAAGGUGAUAUGAACCGUUAUAACCGGCGAUUUCCGAAUGGGGAAACCCAGUGUGAUUCGUCACACUAUCAUUAACUGAAUCCAUAGGUUAAUGAGGCGAACCGGGGGAACUGAAACAUCUAAGUACCCCGAGGAAAAGAAAUCAACCGAGAUUCCCCCAGUAGCGGCGAGCGAACGGGGAGCAGCCCAGAGCCUGAAUCAGUAUGUGUGUUAGUGGAAGCGUCUGGAAAGGCGCGCGAUACAGGGUGACAGCCCCGUACACAAAAAUGCACAUGCUGUGAGCUCGAUGAGUAGGGCGGGACACGUGGUAUCCUGUCUGAAUAUGGGGGGACCAUCCUCCAAGGCUAAAUACUCCUGACUGACCGAUAGUGAACCAGUACCGUGAGGGAAAGGCGAAAAGAACCCCGGCGAGGGGAGUGAAAAAGAACCUGAAACCGUGUACGUACAAGCAGUGGGAGCACAGAGCAAUCUGUGUGACUGCGUACCUUUUGUAUAAUGGGUCAGCGACUUAUAUUCUGUAGCAAGGUUAACCGAAUAGGGGAGCCGAAGGGAAACCGAGUCUUAACUGGGCGUUAAGUUGCAGGGUAUAGACCCGAAACCCGGUGAUCUAGCCAUGGGCAGGUUGAAGGUUGGGUAACACUAACUGGAGGACCGAACCGACUAAUGUUGAAAAAUUAGCGGAUGACUUGUGGCUGGGGGUGAAAGGCCAAUCAAACCGGGAGAUAGCUGGUUCUCCCCGAAAGCUAUUUAGGUAGCGCCUCGUGAAUUCAUCUCCGGGGGUAGAGCACUGUUUCGGCAAGGGGGUCAUCCCGACUUACCAACCCGAUGCAAACUGCGAAUACCGGAGAAUGUUAUCACGGGAGACACACGGCGGGUGCUAACGUCCGUCGUGAAGAGGGAAACAACCCAGACCGCCAGCUAAGGUCCCAAAGUCAUGGUUAAGUGGGAAACGAUGUGGGAAGGCCCAGACAGCCAGGAUGUUGGCUUAGAAGCAGCCAUCAUUUAAAGAAAGCGUAAUAGCUCACUGGUCGAGUCGGCCUGCGCGGAAGAUGUAACGGGGCUAAACCAUGCACCGAAGCUGCGGCAGCGACGCUUAUGCGUUGUUGGGUAGGGGAGCGUUCUGUAAGCCUGUGAAGGUGUGCUGUGAGGCAUGCUGGAGGUAUCAGAAGUGCGAAUGCUGACAUAAGUAACGAUAAAGCGGGUGAAAAGCCCGCUCGCCGGAAGACCAAGGGUUCCUGUCCAACGUUAAUCGGGGCAGGGUGAGUCGACCCCUAAGGCGAGGCCGAAAGGCGUAGUCGAUGGGAAACAGGUUAAUAUUCCUGUACUUGGUGUUACUGCGAAGGGGGGACGGAGAAGGCUAUGUUGGCCGGGCGACGGUUGUCCCGGUUUAAGCGUGUAGGCUGGUUUUCCAGGCAAAUCCGGAAAAUCAAGGCUGAGGCGUGAUGACGAGGCACUACGGUGCUGAAGCAACAAAUGCCCUGCUUCCAGGAAAAGCCUCUAAGCAUCAGGUAACAUCAAAUCGUACCCCAAACCGACACAGGUGGUCAGGUAGAGAAUACCAAGGCGCUUGAGAGAACUCGGGUGAAGGAACUAGGCAAAAUGGUGCCGUAACUUCGGGAGAAGGCACGCUGAUAUGUAGGUGAAGUCCCUCGCGGAUGGAGCUGAAAUCAGUCGAAGAUACCAGCUGGCUGCAACUGUUUAUUAAAAACACAGCACUGUGCAAACACGAAAGUGGACGUAUACGGUGUGACGCCUGCCCGGUGCCGGAAGGUUAAUUGAUGGGGUCAGCGCAAGCGAAGCUCUUGAUCGAAGCCCCGGUAAACGGCGGCCGUAACUAUAACGGUCCUAAGGUAGCGAAAUUCCUUGUCGGGUAAGUUCCGACCUGCACGAAUGGCGUAAUGAUGGCCAGGCUGUCUCCACCCGAGACUCAGUGAAAUUGAACUCGCUGUGAAGAUGCAGUGUACCCGCGGCAAGACGGAAAGACCCCGUGAACCUUUACUAUAGCUUGACACUGAACAUUGAGCCUUGAUGUGUAGGAUAGGUGGGAGGCUUGGAAGUGUGGACGCCAGUCUGCAUGGAGCCGACCUUGAAAUACCACCCUUUAAUGUUUGAUGUUCUAACGUUGACCCGUAAUCCGGGUUGCGGACAGUGUCUGGUGGGUAGUUUGACUGGGGCGGUCUCCUCCUAAAGAGUAACGGAGGAGCACGAAGGUUGGCUAAUCCUGGUCGGACAUCAGGAGGUUAGUGCAAUGGCAUAAGCCAGCUUGACUGCGAGCGUGACGGCGCGAGCAGGUGCGAAAGCAGGUCAUAGUGAUCCGGUGGUUCUGAAUGGAAGGGCCAUCGCUCAACGGAUAAAAGGUACUCCGGGGAUAACAGGCUGAUACCGCCCAAGAGUUCAUAUCGACGGCGGUGUUUGGCACCUCGAUGUCGGCUCAUCACAUCCUGGGGCUGAAGUAGGUCCCAAGGGUAUGGCUGUUCGCCAUUUAAAGUGGUACGCGAGCUGGGUUUAGAACGUCGUGAGACAGUUCGGUCCCUAUCUGCCGUGGGCGCUGGAGAACUGAGGGGGGCUGCUCCUAGUACGAGAGGACCGGAGUGGACGCAUCACUGGUGUUCGGGUUGUCAUGCCAAUGGCACUGCCCGGUAGCUAAAUGCGGAAGAGAUAAGUGCUGAAAGCAUCUAAGCACGAAACUUGCCCCGAGAUGAGUUCUCCCUGACUCCUUGAGAGUCCUGAAGGAACGUUGAAGACGACGACGUUGAUAGGCCGGGUGUGUAAGCGCAGCGAUGCGUUGAGCUAACCGGUACUAAUGAACCGUGAGGCUUAACC
rnacentral:rRNA from 1 species